GGGCCCGCACAAGCGGCGGAGCAUGCGGCUUAAUUCGAUGCAACGCGAAGAACCUUACCUAGGCUUGACAGUUGGGGAAAUCUGGCAGAGAUGCCAGGUCCGUAAGGGCCCCAAAACAGGUGGUGCAUGGCUGUCGUCAGCUCGUGUCGUGAGAUGUUGGGUUAAGUCCCGCAACGAGCGCAACCCUCGUCGUAUGUUGCCAGCGGAUAAUGCCGGGGACUCAUACGAGACUGCCGGGGUCAACUCGGAGGAAGGUGGGGACGACGUCAAGUCAUCAUGCCCCUUAUGUCUAGGGCUGCACGCAUGCUACAAUGGCCGGUACAGAGGGCUGCGAAACCGCGAGGUGGAGCGAAUCCCAAAAAGCCGGUCUCAGUUCGGAUUGGGGUCUGCAACUCGACCCCAUGAAGUCGGAGUCGCUAG
rnacentral:rRNA from 1 species